UCUGAAAAAAAAAAACUCCUCCCUGGUCGACGCCGCCUCGGCCCCCCUACGCAGCUCCACCUUGCCAUCCCGGUACACUCCUCAGUCCUCACCGGCGACUCGCGCCCGGAACCCUAGGCACAGCGAUCGCCGGCGAGCAGGCCAUGGAUGGCGGCGGCGCGGCGGAGCUGCGCGAGACCCACCGCCUGGUUGGCCACGCCGACCGCGCGUGGGCACUCGCCUGGAACCCCAACCCGGGCGCCGGCGCCGGCCCCGUCCUAGCCUCCUGCGGCGCCGACAAGACAGUGCGCAUCUGGAAGCGCGCCCCCGACGGCGCCUGGCACUGCUCGGAUGUGCUCGAAGGCGUGCACGAACGCACGGUGAGGUCCUGCGCUUGGUCCCCCGACGGGAAGCUGUUGGCGGACGCGAGCUUCGAUGGCACGGCGGCGAUUUGGGAGUACUCCGGUGGAGACUUUGAGUUGGUCGACACGUUGGAGGGGCACGCGAACGAGGUGAAGAGUGUGUCAUGGAGCCAGUCCGGUUCGAUGGUCGCGACGUGCAGCCGGGACAGGGCAGCGUGGAUAUGGGAGAUUCUGCCAGGGAACGAUCACGAGUGCGUAGAUGUGCUGGAGGGGCACACUGAGGAUGUGAAGAUGGUCCAGUGGCACCCGUUCUUUGAUGUUCUGGUUUCUGUCAGCUAUGACAAUACCAUCAGGGUGUGGGCUGAUGACGGCGAUGUUGAUCUCCUUUUUCUUGAUCACAGUGGUCAUUCCUCAACAGUAUGGUCAAUAUCUUUUAACCAGAAAGGAGAUAGGAUGGUCACAUGCAGUGAUGACUGUACUUUGAAAAUUUGGGAUACAAGUAUUGAUUUGUCGCAACCAACAACUGGAGAAGGUCAUGAAUCUUGGCAUCAUAUUUCUACUCUAUCUGGAUAUCAUGGUCGAACUAUUUUUUCAGCCCUUUGGUCAAGCGAGGAUGUAAUUGCCAGUGGGGCAAGUGAUGAUGCUAUCUGCUUAUUUGCCGAGGAGAAUAGUAUGUGCAGGUUGAGGGGCCUUCCUACAGAUUAAUACUGAAGAAAGAGAAGGCACAUGACAUGGAUGUAAAUUGUGUCAGAUGGUGUCCUCAGGACCCAAGGGUGUUGGCAUCCGCGAGCGAUGAUGGCACAGUCAAAUUGUGGGAGCUGCGGGGGGAUAUACUGGAUUGAGUUGUACUCUUCUGCUGUAAUAUGAUUAUAGUUCUAGCUGUGCAUCUUAAGAUCCUAAGAACAGAGUAGGGAUCACCUUUUUUUUCGUUUCUUUUUUAAAAAACAAUGCUCCCUAGUUUAGCUAUUACUACCUCUGUUUCUAAAUAUAAGUACGUAGUUUUAGAGAUUUCCCUAGGGACUAAUACGGAUGUAUAUAGACAUAUUUUAGAGUGUAUUUUCACUCAUUUUGCUCCUUGCUCCGUAUGUAGUCUAUAUUGGAAUCUCUAAAAAUGACAUAUAUUUAGGAAUGGAGGGAGUACCUUUUUGUACUCGUAAAAGCUUGGAUGGUGAUGAUUACAAGCACUAGCAUCCUGACAGGUUGUGGAAUUGUUCGUGUAUACAAUGUGAAACAAUAGACCUGUUACAUAUCAUUUUUGCGAAUGAGUUA